CUUUAUUUACCUAAGUAUUAUUAACAUAAUAAACUAAUGUAUAAUGGCGGUUUCAAUAAAUUAGAGAAACUCGCUUAUUAAUCGAUAAUACCCGUUAAAUUUAACUUAAUUAUAAACAUAAUAUAAAGCUUAUAUACCGCCGUUUCAGACUUCUUUAUAAAAUUAAAUUCUCAUCAUAUACUACACAAAAAAUCAGGUCAAGGUGUAGCCAAUAGUUAAGUUUAAGUAAGUUACAUUAAACGAAAUUUAAGGAUUUUAUUUUAAAUUAUAAAUAAAAAAGAAUUUAUAUGUACAAAAAAAUUAAAAACUUAAUUUGAAACAUUAAAUUGAAACGC
rnacentral:rRNA from 1 species